GACGGCAGCGGCAGCCCGAGGCCUGAGGGGAGGGGACCCGCAGCGGCGAUGCUGGAGACCCUGCGCGAGCGGCUGCUGAGCGUGCAGCAGGAUUUCACCUCCGGGCUGAAGACUUUAAGUGACAAGUCAAGAGAAGCAACAGUAAAAAGCAAACCCAGGACUGUUUCAUAUUUGCCAAAGUACUCUGCUGGACUAGAAUUACUUAGCAGGUAUGAAGAUACAUGGGCUGCACUUCACAGAAGAGCCAAGGAAUGUGCAAGUGCUGGAGAG